rnacentral:rRNA from 1 species
UACAGAGGCCUCGAGCGUUGUUCGGAAUUACUGGGCGUAAAGGGAAUGUAGGUUGUGACGUAAGUCAGGUGUGAAAGCCCUGGGCUUAACCCAGGAAUUGCAUUUGAUACUGCGUUACUAGAGCAUGAGAGAGGAGAGGAGAAUUCCCAGUGUAGGAGUGAAAUCCGUAGAUAUUGGGAGGAAUACCGAUGGCGAAGGCACCUUUCUGGCUCAUGGCAGACACUGAGAUUCGAAAGCGUGGGGAGCAAACAGG